rnacentral:siRNA from 1 species
GUGAAAAAACUAUUUGCGGUGCA